rnacentral:tRNA from 1 species
GGGGCUGUAGCUCAGUUGGGAGAGCGCGGGCUUUGCAAGCCUGAGGUCGUCGGUUCGACCCCGAUCAGCUCCA